UGGGGAAUAUUGCACAAUGGGCGAAAGCCUGAUGCAGCGACGCCGCGUGAAGGAUGAAGUAUUUCGGUAUGUAAACUUCUAUCAGCAGGGAAGAAAUGACGGUACCUGACUAAGAAGCCCCGGCUAACUACGUGCC
rnacentral:rRNA from 1 species